ensembl:lncRNA
CGAAGUUAGUAAUUACCUGAUCCCAGGAAUUGCUCAAUAGGUCAAUCCCCUGAUCCCUUGCUAUUUUCACCUUUAUGCAGCUGUAGGGGGAAGGUGGUAGUCUACAAGCCUGCGAGAGCUAGAGUGGAGCUUCCUAUGUGACAGAAGCAGGAUGGGGCCUUCUCUGCUAAAAUUCCAUGGAAAUAAUAAUAGUAAUAUUGACUUAUUUAUGGAGGGUACACAAUCAACACCUGGCCUUGGCAAGUAACUUAACCUGAGUACCGGAUCUCAGAUAUUAUAUUGAGAUAUAUUAUACCCACCUAAUAGAAUCUUCGCUUCUGAAGACUGAAGUGAACAAGGAAAGUGCUUUAUACCAUGGCAGAGUUAUACACCACGCCGGGAGCCCUCCUACCUUUACUACAUGGGCUCAGUGUCCACGGAGAACUCCAAGCUCUGGAAAUGUCAGGAUUAGUCAAGAAGACAGUAAGAUCUCAAGUCACCACCAGCACCAAAUGAUAGAGUCAACAAUCCCAACUCCCUUUUCAGGCCCCUUAUCUAGAAAAGGGACUAUGCCCACAGUCCCACUGGGAAUUGCUUUCAGAGGAGCUGAUGAAAGCUGUGAAGGCACUGUUGCCCAACAGUGAGGGGAGUGGAAACAACUUGGCAGAACCUCUGGGAAGGCCCAUCAGGGCAUGAGAUCAGUGACCAGAGACGAGGACCACACUCCAGGGGUAGAGGCAGAACCACAUGUCAUGCCCUGCAGACUCCAGAGCUGCAUCUCCAAGACAGAGGGAGGCCUCCAGCAGACAAGAUGCGGAUGCGGGCCUUCUAAAACUCAGGCGAGGACACUGGGGAACACACAGUGUGAACUACUUGCCGAGAUGCUGCUGCUGGUGACUAGCAGAGCGAGAUUCAACAUGCUGUCUGGCUCCAGAGCCACACUCCUGAACCACUAAACUGUGCUGCCAAAAAUGUCACGGCGCCUGGAGAACGCGUCUCAGUCAAGAUCUUGCAUGAUUGUAAGCAGGAGUGGCUUAGAUGGAGUCAUUAAGGAGAAAACAGCAUUGGAUGUGCACACAGACCUGGCCCUGAAUCCUAUCUUGCCAUUCACCACUUGGUGGCCGUGUGACCCUGGCCACGGCACUUCCCCUCUGAUCAGCAGCUGGUUCCUCACAUCACCUCUAGUGAGCGGGGGUGAGCGAGCACUUGGUGAAAUGCUGCCCAAGGAUGGGUCCAUGACCAGGCAGUGUAGCAACCAGAGCCCCAGGACCAGAGCCCCCCAUGGUGGGGUUUGUUGGCAUUUCUGGAGCGGCAGUUGAAACAUCUCCCCAAAGUGUCUCCGCGUGGUCAGGGCUCCCCACAGCCCUUUACUGAGAUGGUCGUCUCCAUGCAGCCCCUCCACGGUGGCUGUCCUUCUCUGGAACUCUCAUCUCUGAGGACUAAGAAGAGGGAGUGACGUGUGAAUCCUGUGCCAGCUUAUUUACGUUCUCAGACAAGUGUGUGAUAUUAUGUGAUCAUGUUGAGAAACACAACCCAGACCUGACACGGCCCAUGUCACCUGAAAUGCACCUCCUUCAGUUCUCCAAGGGCUCUGGGUAUACCUCUAACCAUGCCCUCCCAGCAUGGCAGCCAGGAGCCACACGUGGCAAUUCACAUUUAAGUUAAAUACAAUAGAAAGU